GACAGGGGUCUCAAGCGUUAAUCGGAAUCACUGGGCUUAAAGCGUGUGUAGGCGGAUUGCUAAGUACCUUGUGAAAUCCCACGGCUUAACCGUGGAACUGCUUGGUAUACUGGCUGUCUUGAGCCACUUAGGGGCAACCGGAACAAACGGUGGAGCGGUGAAAUGCGUAGAUAUCGUUUGGAACGCCAAUGGUGAAAACAGGUUGCUGGGAGUGUGCUGACGCUGAGACACGAAAGCCAGGGGAGCAAACGGG
rnacentral:rRNA from 1 species